UCUCCAGGCAGCGCAGUGCAGAUAAAAUCCACAGCUGCGUUCUCUGCAGGUUUGGACAAGUCACCCGCCAAUGUCUACUUUUAAAAAAUUCACGAAGCGGGGACAGCGGCGUCACUGAGAAUUGUUUGUGUUGUUCCCAGGCCGGACCUUUUUCCUGGUGUCAGGCCCACCUGUUCCUUGGAGCUGAUCUGAGCAGCUGCCAAGCAGGCAGGGCUAGAGCACGCGCGUUGGAAGAGCAGAUUUGUACCCUGUAGGUGACCGAUGCAUACCCUCACCGUUGGCUGCCUCGGAUGCUACUGUUUGUGCCUAACACCUGUUAAGGGGCCACACACACAGAUGGCGCUGCAUAGCCUUGUUGGAGGAAUGGAGACAUUUCCUUAGCUGGCGGCACCACAAGUGCAUGGAAGGAGGAACAAUUACUGAUGUCUGUUUAGAAGAGCAUCUUCUAGUUGACUCUCAAGUUCAAGGACAGCUGGAUAAAAAGAAGACCCUUCCCACAUCUUAAGGAAAAUUGUGGAAAAGGUAAUAUUUAGACUGUACAAUGAAAUUCAGCGGUCAUCCCCAUAUCACCUACAGUAUAACUUAAUAGACACUACCCACAUAGCUUCCCCCUUUGAUGGGUCAUGAGUGACGUGACGGUUUUGCCUCCAGCCUCCAUGCAGCCUGAACAUUCGGGUUGUUCUGAAGGAAUGCUUGGGCUGCUUAGGUUUUUAGUUAACCUGACACAAGCCUGGUCAUCUGGGAAGAGGGAAC
rnacentral:sRNA from 1 species